rnacentral:rRNA from 1 species
UACGGAGGGAGCUAGCGUUGUUCGGAAUUACUGGGCGUAAAGCGCACGUAGGCGGCUAUUCAAGUCAGGGGUGAAAGCCCGGAGCUCAACUCCGGAACUGCCUUUGAAACUAGAUAGCUAGAAUCUUGGAGAGGUGAGUGGAAUUCCGAGUGUAGAGGUGAAAUUCGUAGAUAUUCGGAAGAACACCAGUGGCGAAGGCGACUCACUGGACAAGUAUUGACGCUGAGGUGCGAAAGCGUGGGGAGCAAACAGG